AUUGAACGCUGGCGGCGUGCCUAAUACAUGCAAGUAGGACGAGUUGCGAACGGGUUAGUAACGUGUGGUAACCUGCCUAUUUGCUGGGGAUAACUACUGGAAACGGUAGCUAAUACCGCAUACCAUCGGAUGUGCCCAGAUGGGAUUAGCUAGUAGGUGGGGUAAAUACUCACCUAGGCGACGAUCCCUAGCUGGUCUGAUAGGUGGACCAGCCACACUGGAAUGGAGACACUGUCCAGACUCCUACGGGAGGCAGCAGUGGGGAAUAUUGCACAAUGGGCGCAAGCAUGCUGAAGCCAUGCCGCGUGUAUGAAGAAGGCCUUCGGGUUGUAAAGUACUUUCAGCGGGGAGGCGUUACCCGCAGAAGAAGCACCGGCUAACUCCGUGUCAGCAGCCGCGGUAAUAC
rnacentral:rRNA from 1 species